GAGUUCUGCAUGGAAUUAAAUUCUUUGAACAAUUUUUAAAGGUGACCACCAAAGGAACAUUCCUCUGAAGUUUGGAUGAAAUUGGCUCAGUGGUUUAUGAGGAGAUGUCAUUUGAAGCAAAAGUUUACGGACGGACGGACGACGGACGGACGACGGACGAAAAGCGAUCACAAAAGCUCACCCUGUCACUUUGUGACAGGUGAGCUAAAAAGUAUCAAACAUUCGGUCUGACAAACCCUUGAAUUUUGUCAGACUGACAAAAAAUCUGUCAGCCCAACACAUUUACAGCAAUUUGAAAACAAGCAAGGUGUAAGAUAACAUUUUAACCUUCGAAUUAAACUCAAUCCCUGUAAUACAUCAAGCAUGCCAUGUUUACUUGUGCUGUAAAUGCCAAUUGUGCAGCUAUCGGUCAUUGGUUUAUUUCAUGAUAUCGGCCACUGCAUGAAAAUAAUUUUUACAGUGCGCAAUGUUCAAGGAAGAGUAAUCUCACAAGCAAAAAUUGUGUAAUUUAUCAUUCUAACACUAUCGGAAAUUUUUCUAUAUAAACAAAGAAGGCCCGAAGCGUGCAUUAUUCUACAACAAUGCACUCGCAGUUCUUAUUAUCUCCCUGUGUAUUUUCACAUUGAGGGCGCCAUUUUUGUGGAAUUUUGUUGUGAAAACUAUCUCUAGAAUAAAAAAAAUGGUCAAACUAAGAAAAUGAAUCCGAACACCAAUAUCUUUAAUUCAGUCGUUAAUGCUGUACAGACGUUUAAAGUGUUGUGUACGUGACGUCACAAUGUAGCGCCAAACAGCACGUGCAAAGCAAUCAAAUCAAAUACGAUAUUUUAAUGUCGCAAACGAGUUAAGUUUUACAUUUAUUCAACUUUUAAUAAUUUGUAUUUUGCUUGAAAAAUUAAAGAGUGAAAUAAAAUAAACAAACAAAGUUUUAUCAACGUUUUCAAAAUUCGUUAUUCUGAAAAUGUUUCUACACACUGUAGAUUGAACGACAGUUUUUUUCAACCCACUCAGGGUUCCCGCUGUCGCUCGCCAAUGGCGCCAAAUGCGACAAUAUAUUAAUUCUGGCGCAUAAAAUCUUUAAUUGGCGAAUUUAACUGGCGCCAACGUUAGAUAAAAGCAUCCGACAACUAGUACACUUAAAUGUCAUAAGCGGCCGCGUUAAUUACAUAAGCGGCCCAAAUGUGAAAGGUCACGCGCUAUUAGUUUAUCAAACUGUAUAAUCGGGUACCGUUUAAUCAAUUAUGUGAUCAAUUAUGUGACACUUCGGGAACAUGUGAAGAUGAAAGUGUCAACGUGUUAAAUGGAAUAAUUUACGUCUUUCAUUCUCUGACAUGUGUGGUCAACAGGUGUUAGUAGCCGACAGAGAAGUGAAAGAUCGUCCGUGAUGUUGACAAACAUUGAACAUUCGAUCACCAGAUUGUCGGGUAGAGGCUGGGAAAGAUCUUGGCUCAGUCCAGCCUGUGAGAAGAACUGCUAUACUGGCAAAAUGGUGGAAAACAGGACCUCCCAUGACUAACUUAACAUGAUGUUUUUGAUUACAUUUAUGCCGUCAUGUGUAUUUAUUUAAAUGGAAUUUGAAAACCACAUAAUAGUAUGUCUAUAUUUUAGAUAAUAAACAUGUGCAGCUGUAAUAAAAUGAAAUAUUAUAAA